UGGCAGAACACACCUCUAAUCCCAACAAUUCUGUUUUCAGAGCUUGUGAUCUCUAUUGUCUUGCUAUAUUAUCUCACAGCAGAACAAACUCCUUCGCUACGGAAAACUUAACGAGGCCCUCCAAUGUCAUGAGAGGGAAAGAAGAGAGAGAGAAAUGUUACGACUCAAAUGCUUCUCUGCAGAAACAAAUUGUGCAGACCCCUCGCAAUCGCCUGAGUGUCCUGUGGCUUUAUCAAGUAGCCAGGAUGGCGAGCAUGGGUUGAUGGACAGCUCUGUGAAUAAUAAGAGAUUCUGGAACUCAAGACAGUGCUGUUCUUUCCUCCGUGCAUCUGUCAACCAUUCUCUCUACUAACUUUGUUUCCAUCCAAAUCAACCACAACAUGGGAUUUACUCCCUCAGCAGAUUCCAUUUGAGCGGGGAAGGAGGCAUGGCAAAAUAAAAAAGAUGAACUGUAGAGGUGGGUAGGAAUUCAAUUUCUGGCUCCCCCACUUAUGUGCUCUGUGACUCGUGGGUACAUGUAUCUUCGGAGACCCUUGCCAGUAAAAUAAAGGCAAUGCAUGCUUAAUGCGUGGUGGGGCAGAGGCUGCAGGCCCCCCACCUGUGUCCCCCUGGUACUCGUGUCCCCGUGCUUGCCAACAGCUUCCUGUUACAAGCACAGGAAAACCUUGGAUUGUGAGUUACUUGUUCUGCAAGUGUUCCACAA